CAACUAGCUGGUGAAGCUCAUCGUCCUCCCCCUCACAGAUUGAGUUUUCCUCUCCCCCCAACCCAGGCCUCUCAGUUCUAGGGCCCCUGGAGCAUCUGAUUCAGGACUAUUUAUUCAGUCCUUUUCGACUUCAUCUGUCUCUUUCAUCUUGUUGUUCUGGCCUGUCAUCAUGUCUGAACCCAGGUGAAUGGGAUUAUCCCCCUGAAUUUUGUUUUAUUUAAAAAUCUGGUCAUUUCCCUUCAUGGUCUUCAUUCCAGUCACGGAUGAAAAUGUUCAACAAGAAGGCCAGAGAUUUGUGGCACAUCUGUAAAGACUUACCUUCAGAUGGGCAUUGUUUACUAAUGGAUUGCUUUUUUUGGUUUUGUUUUUUGUUUGGUUUGUUUGUUUUUAGCUGAGCAGCAUGCAGGAUCUUAGUUCCCUAACCAGGGAUCAAACCUAUGUCCCCUGCAUUGGGAACAAGGAGUCUUAACCACCAGACCGUCAGUGGUCACGUAUGGAUGUGAGAGUUGGACUAUGAAGAAAGCUGAACACUGAAGAAUUGAUGCUUUUGAACUGUGGUGUUGGAGAAGACUCCUGAGAGUCCCUUGGACUGCAAGGAGAUCCAAACAGUCCAUCCUAAAGGAAACCAG
ensembl:lncRNA